UGAGGAAUAUUGGUCAAUGGGCGCGAGCCUGAACCAGCCAAGUCGCGUGAGGGAUGACGGCCCUACGGGUUGUAAACCUCUUUUUGUCGGGGAGCAAAUUCCGUUACGUGUAACGGAGUCGAGAGUACCCGAAGAAAAAGCAUCGGCUAACUCCGUGCC
rnacentral:rRNA from 1 species